rnacentral:rRNA from 1 species
UACGUAGGGUGCAAGCGUUUGUCCGGAAUUAUUGGGCGUAAAGAGCUCGUAGGCGGUCUGUCGCGUCUGCUGUGAAAACUCGGGGCUUAACCCCGGGCCUGCAGUGGGUACGGGCAGACUAGAGUGCGGUAGGGGAGACUGGAAUUCCUGGUGUAGCGGUGAAAUGCGCAGAUAUCAGGAGGAACACCGGUGGCGAAGGCGGGUCUCUGGGCCGAAUGACUGCGUGAGGAGCGAAAGCGUGGGGAGCGAACAGGAUUAGA